ACUAUGUCUAGCCCUAAACAUUGACAAUGAACUACAACCAUUGUCCGCCUGGGAACUACGAGCACCAGCUUAAAACCCAAAGGACUUGGCGGUGCUUUAGAUCCAC
rnacentral:rRNA from 1 species